UACGUAGGGCGCAAGCGUUAUCCGGAAUUAUUGGGCGUAAAGAGCUCGUAGGCGGCUUGUCGCGUCGACUGUGAAAUCCCGCGGCUCAACUGCGGGUCUGCAGUCGAUACGGGCAGGCUAGAGUUCGGUAGGGGAGACUGGAAUUCCUGGUGUAGCGGUGAAAUGCGCAGAUAUCAGGAGGAACACCGAUGGCGAAGGCAGGUCUCUGGGCAUUAACUGACGCUGAGGAGCGAAAGCAUGGGGAGCGAACAGG
rnacentral:rRNA from 1 species